UGAAGCUUUAUUAACAAUAUAUUUAACAAAACGAAAAAACAACAAGUGCCCUCAUCGUCCCGAUCAUAAAAAUCAAAAGUAGCAUUUUACUCUAAUAUUACAACGUUUGCAUCAAACUUGUUAACCUUCCGUGUUUUCAUUAUUAUAUGAUUCACACUUACCUAUCAUAUGACGAGUUUGGCAAUUUGACAGACAAGGGAUACCAGACUAUGCGAUCUGGACUAUUCUUUUAAGAUAAAGUUUUCAGAAAAAAACUAUUUAUAUUUUCAAAUACCCAGAUAUAGCAAUCAUUAUAUUAAAAAUCCAUAUAAAUAUGAGUUUGAAUUAGUCUAACAGACUAUUCGGAUACAUUAAAAUACAUAUACGGAUACAAUAUUGAAAAGUUUAAUAAACAUAAUAAAUGACAAGAUGUCUCUGACGCUUAAGCCUUCGGAAAUUUACUUCUCACAAAGUUCAAUUAACAAUCAGUUUAAAAAUGGUCGCCAGAUAGGACAGGUGCUGGAUGAUAUAUGUGAGGGCAGGAUAUCAGUGUCAAGUUUUCCCCUAAUCAGCGUGAUGAAGCGUGAUGGGCGGUGGACGACAUCAGACAACCGGCGUCUCUGGGUGUUCCGGGAGCUGGAGCGCCUUGGGAAGCUCGACGAGAUUGCGGUGGUGCAGGUCUACAGCAUUCAUGAUAAGAAACUGACAACCAUAAACGGCGGUGUGUCCGUCAAGGUGCGGGGAACGGGGCCCGGUGGUAUAUGGCACAACAGACUGGCCUCCACGGCUUCCCUUUCAACAUAUCUGCGCUCAUGGAGGGAUAUGUUUGAUUCCUCGGACAGCCUCGAUAGCAUAUAGGAAAGCUUAAAUAUUAUUUUUGUACCAUAUUUAUAGUAUGUUGGUUUCGAUCUGUGAUAUUUUCUUAUUUUUUCCUCAUUAUUUAUCGUUAAACUACUUAUAAUUAUUUUAAUACAUGUAUCUUCACAUCCAUUAUAAUUAAGUAUUGUUGUUAUUAUUAAGUAUUGGAUAUCAUUCAGAAUGUGUCAUGAUGUAUGUAGUAUGUGCUUUUUUUAUAAAUCGUUAUUAUAAUUAAGUAUUUUUUUUAAGUUCACCAUUUACAUUAGUUUUAAAUACUACUUGACAACUAUUAUAUUUAAAGCAAUAUAAACUCAAUGGCAUGUUCUAUUUUAUCAAUCAAUACAGUUUUUAAGAAUUUAAUCUUUAUGUUAAAACCAAAAGUAGAAAUUUGAUUAUUGUCUGGCCAGGUGCCAGUCAUUUUCUGAAAAACACCACCAUAAAUAGGCCACAAUCAGGAAAAGUUUCCAUUUAAAAUAUGUACAGGUACCAGUUAAAAGAGCUCUAUUUAUGUUUAACUGUGAUUAUGUUUUAUGGGUGUUUUUUCUUUCUUUUUUCUCAUUUAAAUUCUGUGCGUAUUGUUAUCAGAUUCCGGUACAUGCACCGCAUACAUCCAUAUCAUUUUGAUUGUUUACUAAUCUGUUAUACAUAUACAGAAUAAUAAAUUCGUAUAUAACACAAAGCGUGUUACUUCACAUUAGGAUAAUAAUAGUUGUAUUGCAAGUUGCAAAUACACCCGUUAGGUACAGACUAUUAAUAAUUAGAAAUACAUGCAGGUAUUAAAUUACGGAAUUUCAGAGUAAAUGGAAAAGAAAAUGGGCUUCACGUUUUCUGAAAAUCAUUAAUCAUUAAUCAAUAUUGAAUAAGACCGCUGUAGCCAUUUCCCAACUAGAGGUGGAGGUGAUGAGUAGAUUGUGUUAUAAUACGACAAUAACACCGUGAACGAACACGAUAUGCCUACGUGGAGGCAGCCGUCGGAGAUUCGCUACUCCCAAGCGUCCAUCAAGUCCAGAUUCAGCAACAGACGUCAGCUGGGGAUAGUACUGGACGACAUUUGCGAUGAAAAAUUGAAAGCGUCCAAUUUUCCAAACAUCCGGGUUAUUAAGAAGGACGGUUUGUGGUUCAGCAUGGAUAACCGGCGACUCUGGGUCUUCAAGCAGCUUCAGCGGCUAGGGAAAUGUGGGGACAUUCCCGUAAAAGAGGUAACAACUAUCCCUGACGAGCGUCACACAACUCGAAACAAUGGUGUUCACGUUGAGAUCCGUGGAUUGCUUGGAGGUGAGUGGAAAGAUAAGCCGGACUGUGUGGAUCCCCGUCCACCCUUUCUGUGCACCUGGGCGACUUCCAGCAGGAAUUUCCGGGGUCGGAGUGGGGGUGUGAUAAGUCGCCGCAGGUCAUGGGAGAGCGAUGACGACUUUGAGUGCGAUUACGGAGAUGAUUCCGAAGACGAAUCCUAUGACUUCUAACAUCACUAUAGAUGUUAGCUCAAACAUUACAAUGUGAUUAAGACGAGAUUCUUUUGAAUAAUUUUGUCUUGUUAUAUAUCGAAAACUUUUCACAUGUUGUCUCACUGUCCUACUCAAAUUAUCUGUGAUAUAUUGAUUGCUCUUAUUUCAAACCCUUUGUUGUUUCAGAUGUUUGUAUUGUCGUUUUAAAAUUAAUCUAAACAGCGACUGUUUUAUUGUGAUUUAAAGUUUCUUGUUUAAUUCUGUCCAUGGUAAGGUGAGAGAAAAAACAGAUAAUUGGUGUCUUUUCGCUUACCGAUGCCGCUGUCCAAGGAUCGGCGAGGCGUGCUGGCGGGCGGGCUGUCCGUCAUCCGGUCCUCGAACACGAGACUCUCCCGGGACGCGCGCCGCCUCUCCAAAGCAUCCAACUCGUCCUGUUGCCUCUGGAGCUCCCUACGAUGGUGCUCCUCGCGGCGCCUCUUUUCUCUCUCGUGCUCCAGUAUGACUGCCUCCCGCUGCCGGGCCUCUUCCCGCUCCCGCUCCAAGCGCGCUAACUCCUCGAGCUGCCACAGACAACACAGGAUGUAUAGACGCUAGACACAGACUGGUGUGGUACGGGUCGCACCAUAUUUUGUUAUCACACAGAAAACAUACAAUAUAAUACACAUAUUUAUUUAUUUAGCUUGUUUAUUCUUAAUACUUCAUUAUAGCAUUGAAUCCAGUUGUACAUAUAUAUAUACGAAAAAAAAUAUUUUAGUCU